rnacentral:rRNA from 1 species
GUGGAUAUCCACGACUCGUCUGAAAUGCUUGAGUGUACCCUGCUUUGCGGCGUAUUCGGUGUGAUACAUCUUCACCGGAGUUGAUCCUUUUGGGUCGCGUCUAUACAAGUGUGGCUCUAUGCUUCCAACCGUCUUCCAGGAGACAAUGUUUGACAAUUUGACCUCAAAUCGGGUGGGACUACCCGCUGAACUUAAGCAUAUCAAUAAGCGGAGGAAAAGAAACUAACAAGGAUUCCCCUAGUAACGGCGAGUGAAGAGGGAAAAGCUCAAAUUUUGAAUCUGGUGUCUUUGAUGCCCGAGUUGUAAUCUAGAGAAGUGUUUUCCGUGUCGGACCGUGCACAAGUUCCCUGGAACGGGGCGUCAUAGAGGGUGAGAAUCCCGUAUAUGGCACGGACUGCCGAUGCUUUGUGAUACACUCUCAACGAGUCGAGUUGUUUGGGAAUGCAGCUCAAAAUGGGUGGUAAAUUCCAUCUAAAGCUAAAUAUUGGCGAGAGACCGAUAGCGAACAAGUACCGUGAGGGAAAGAUGAAAAGCACUUUGGAAAGAGAGUGAAACAGUACGUGAAAUUGUUGAAAGGGAAGCGUUUGAAGUCAGUCGUAUCUGGCGGGAUUCAGCCUGGCUUUUGCCGGGUGUACUUUCCGUCCGAUGGGUCAGCAUCAAUUUCGAUGGGGGGAAAAAGGCGUGGGGAAUGUGGCUGUCUUCGGGCAGUGUUAUAGCCCCGCGUUGUAUGCCUCUGUUGGGAUUGAGGAACGCAGCGCGCCUAUAGGCCAGGGGCUACCCGCCUCUUGACACGCGCUUAGGAUGCUGGCAUAAUGGCUUUAAGCGACCCGUCUUGAAACACG